GCACAAGCGGUGGAUGAUGUGGAUUAAUUCGAUGCAACGCGAAGAACCUUACUACCCUUGACAUGUCCGGAACUUGCCAGAGAUGGCUUGGUGCCCGAAAGGGAAUCGGAACACAGGUGCUGCAUGGCUGUCGUCAGCUCGUGUCGUGAGAUGUUGGGUUAAGUCCCGCAACGAGCGCAACCCUUGUCAUUAGUUGCCAUCAUUUGGUUGGGCACUCUAAUGAGACUGCCGGUGACAAACCGGAGGAAGGUGGGGAUGACGUCAAGUCCUCAUGGCCCUUAUGGGUAGGGCUUCACACGUCAUACAAUGGUCGGUACAGAGGGUUGCCAACCCGCGAGGGGGAGCUAAUCCCACAAAGCCGAUCGUAGUCCGGAUCGCAGUCUGCAACUCGACUGCGUGAAGUCGGAAUCGCUAGUAAUCGUGGAUCAGCAUGUCACGGUGAAUACGUUCCCGGGUCUU
rnacentral:rRNA from 1 species